AUGAACGUUGCGCUCAUGCUUCAUUGGGUUUGGCGGAUCUUGCGGGGAGAUGGAGGUUUGUGGCUGCAGCUGAUUGAGUCCAAGUACCAGGGCCAGCCCCUCUUGGCUUGUUCGCACUCGGCUGGGUCCCUGUUUUGGGAAUCUGCCCAGGCCAUCAAGGAUGAGAUUAGGUUGGGUUUGCGGUUCUCGGUUGGCAAUGGGUCUGGGACCCAAUUUUAA
rnacentral:rRNA from 1 species